UCCGGUGACAAUGGCGAGGAGGUCCCACCUGUUCCCAUCCCGAACACAGUAGUUAAGCUCCUCAGCGUCGAAAGUACCUGGCUGGACACGGCCCGGGAGGAUAGAACGUUGCCGGAU
rnacentral:rRNA from 1 species